rnacentral:rRNA from 1 species
UGUCGUGAGAUGUUGGGUUAAGUCCCGCAACGAGCGCAACCCUUACUUUUAGUUGCCAUCAUUUAGUUGGGCACUCUAAAAGAACUGCCAGUGAUAAGCUGGAGGAAGGUGGGGAUGACGUCAAGUCCUCAUGGCCCUUACGUGUUGGGCUACACACGUGCUACAAUGGUAUUUACAAUAGGAAGCAAGAUGGCGACAUCAAGCAAAUCCUAAAAAAAUACCUCAGUUCGGAUUGUACUCUGCAACUCGAGUACAUGAAGCUGGAAUUGCUAGUAAUCGCGGAUCAGCGCGCCGCGGUGAAUACGUUCCCGGGUCUUGUACACACCGCCCGUCACACCAUGGAAGUUGGUUCUACCUUAAGGCAAAGCAUAAAAUCUUUGACCACGGUAUAGUCAGCGACUGGGGUGAAGUCGUAACAAGGUAGCCGUAGGGGAACCUGCGGCUGGAUUACCUCCUUU